rnacentral:lncRNA from 1 species
CUACACCCAAACUUGCCCUGGAGCUGAGCCCCCCUUCUUUCAAGCUGUCUCCCCUCUGCACUGCCCACCUAUAUUCUGAAGGUCAAAAUCACAUGCUGAUGGAAGAAAGGAAGAUUUGUGGAGGUGCCAUGGACAUCUGGACAUCCCCUGGAGAACAGAUCAGAGCCUCUUUAAGAGGCUGCCCUACCUUGUGUCAGCAGCUGGUCCCUGUGCUGUGAGGCUGGUGCCUGGAGAGUCCUCCUGAGCUGCCGCGGUGGGAAGAGCUCAUGUUCUGCCUUUGUCGCUGGCUUGUUUUCAUGAAAAUUUAAUGCGUCUCCUCUCUUUCCCUGGAAGUGAGCUGGCUCCUGUGUCCCUGCACAGAAGAAAAGCAAGGCUGCACGGCCAGCGAGGAUGGAGCCAGCCCUGCCUUCUGCAGCCCCGCUUCUCCCUGCCUGGGAUCGAGCAGCAGAGCAGAGAUAAAAGAUCUUUGGCUAAUUUCUUCCCGCAGGGAGCCGGAACAGUGAGGACUGCAGGAGAAACAUCCAGCAGCUGCCAGGCCUGGGAUGGAGAAAAAAGCCUCCUCAAAGCUCUGAUGCUCCAGAUCCCUCCUAAGAUGUGCUGCUUGGUUUGGAAGAGGUAUGGGCUGCAUCACGGACUCCCAGUGUGGUGGCUUAGAGAGAGCAUCUCCAUCGGAUUUGGAGGCUGGUGCAGGGAGGAGGAUCCCAGCCCUGGUCCCCAGCAUGGUGUUGGGAUCCCAGCUGGGCUGCCAGGUCAAUGCUUGUCUUGAUCACAAGAAGACACUGUCAUUCAACUUUGAGGUUCCUCAGAGUACUUCCGGAUAACACCAGCUGUGUUUGCAUCCUUGUUCUUCUCCAGGACCAUACAUGGUGAAAGGAAAAGUGGACAGGAGAGGAGAGUGACAAUGGCAGGGAAGAAGGAACGUGUUUGCUGUGUGAUUUUGGGUUGUUUAUGACAGCUUAGUGCUAAGCUUACCUUUCAGAGCUCAGGCUGCUGGGCAUGCAGGCUAAAUGAAAGGGAAAAGGAAAAACCCAAAAGCCUUGUUUUGAAAAAGUGCACUCGGAAACAAGAUAAAAUGUUGGAAAUAAACACAGAUGACCCUGAGCUCCUGUCUCA